rnacentral:rRNA from 1 species
AACGAACGCUGGCGGCAGGCUUAACACAUGCAAGUCGAGCGCCCCGCAAGGGGAGCGGCAGACGGGUGAGUAACGCGCGGGAAUCUACCCAUCUCUACGGAAUAACGCAUGGAAACGUGUGCUAAUACCGUAUACGUCCUUCGGGAGAAAGAUUUAUCGGAGAUGGAUGAGCCCGCGUUGGAUUAGCUAGUUGGUGGGGGAAAGGCCUACCAAGGCGACGAUCCAUAGCUGGUCUGAGAGGAUGAUCAGCCACACUGGGACUGAGACACGGCCCAGACUCCUACGGGAGGCAGCAGUGGGGAAUAUUGGACGAUGGGCGCAAGCCUGAUCCAGCCAUGCCGCGUGAGUGAUGAAGGCCCUAGGGUUGUAAAGCUCUUUCACCGGUGAAGAUAAUGACGGUAACCGGAGAAGAAGCCCCGGCUAACUUCGUGCCAGCCGCCGCCGUAAAAC